UGCUCUGACCUGCCAAUGGGCCGCCUCCGGCUCUGUGCACAGAGCAAAGUCAUGGAUGCCAACUGCCCCAGAGGGCAAAGACCCCGUGCCUCGCCUCUUAGGCACUGCAGCAGAAUUGGCUUUUCUUUCACAGUUCCCAGGAGCCUUCCCCAAUUUGCUGUCUGAAGAGAAAUUACACAAGCCUUUAUCUCAUCUGCUUAUUUUUGCCUAAAACCUCAAUUGCACCUGGGAGGUUUUUUCCCCCUUUAUCUCCUAGAGACUUUGAUGCGCCUGGCCCCUUGUUCUUAGGACACCACCUUGAUCACAGAGCACCUUACAGAUAAUUCUGGUUGUGUUGUUUCAAGGCAUUUCCUCUUUCUCUCUCUUUGUGGUAAACAUUGGUAGAGCUCUGCUGAAACACUGGCUGAACCUCUAGCCUGGUAUGAGUUUUUGCUUUUGGAGUAAAAUCCUUCUAAGAUGUCUUUUCUUGUGCUCCAGAAGUGCCCCGACAAAAUCCGAAGUAAGGUGGAGGUAGAAGACAUUCAGCUCAAAACUGGAAGAUAUGGGACACACCAGCUCUCAGUCACUUGUGGUUUGAUGCAGUUCACACAAACUCAUCUGGUCUUUGGCUGCAAGUGAAGCUUCUUUGUGCUCCCAGCAGUGAUUGCACUCGCCGGUAUUCAGAGCAAUAUGCACCCACCAGAUGGAAUUAAAACCUGGAGAUCCCCGGACAGAACUGGCACAAAUGGCACAGUCUUGGGUCACUUCUCCAUCCUGUGUAUAUUUGGGAACCUGUGUCUCAGUCCAGUGGAUGAGGGUUUGGGAUUUGCCUUGCCCAGGCAUACCCUGUGAGAUACUUCAGGUUGGAACAAUGGAAAUUUUAUAGGCUUCAAUUAACUGACUGGGCAAGAAACAACAGUUUUGCAGUAAUGAGUUCUCACUUGCAUGGAAUGCCAUUUAGUGUCUGAUCUCUCCUUGCCAAAGAGAGAUAUUAAAAUCUGUUGAUCCAGAGAGCAUUUCUAGAGUGAUGAAAAACGGGAAAAACUCUCUCAGUUUGCAGCAAUCCUCGGUUCUGUUAGUAAAAGGGUUUGUUUCCCAAGAGGGAUAUUAUAUACUAGUGAUUAUGGGGAAAAAAUGAACCAAUGCAGUUCCAAGAGAGACAGCACAGCUAAUUCUGUAUCUAAUCUUUCCUCCCACCUUGGUGGGGAUACUGGUGUAGAUGACGAAGAUGAUGGUGGUUUCUGUGAUGCCUCUCUUUAAACCCUUCAUUUUGGGAUUGCCAGUUUGAACAACAGGAAUAGAAUAUUUAUCCUUACAGCCAAAGGUAGCAGAGUGCUGUGACAUAUAUUGCCCAAGUAUAAUAUACUGCAGUCCCUUUCAUUAGGGAUUUCAAAUGCAGGCAAUGGAAGAUUCUUUUAAAGUAGCCCCAGUCACUAGAUCAAACUGGGACAAAGUCAGAAGGGAAGUACGCAAGGAAAGAGAGGUCAGAUCAGUACUGAGAAGUGGCAGAAAGGAUAGUAAAUUAGUGUUACAUGUGCUUAUGAUCAAGCAGUGGUGUAAAUUGCAACAAGAAAAUUGCAAUUUUUUUUUCUAGUCUUACUUAAAAAUGUUCCCAAAAUCCAUGACUACAGAAUCGCAGAACGCCUGAUAUUUUGUAAUGCUGCAAAUGCUGACCUUAAAAAGCACCAGAAAUCUCCCUGGGAUUUUUACCCAUUUGCAGUGGAAACAUGAGGUCUUUAAUAGUAAGAAUGUUUCAAUAACUUUCCGGGAUUUUUUCCACUUUGGCACAGCUAUUCCCUGACAGAUUGCAAGAGAGGAAUUCAGUAGUAACAGCUUGAUCCUGCAGGAUGCUAAAGCCUUUCUGCCCAGGGCUGCAUGCCCUUAGCCCUUACCUGGAGCAACUCAGCAUCUCACAGGAUUACUCAUCUUUUUGCAAUGUGGAGCCUUUCUUACCCACUUGGCCUUGCCACUGACUUCUCUAUUUCUAUUUCUGUGGAAAUGAGCCAAAACUAGUGCCAUUCUCUGAAGGGACUCAUUAGCCUUUCUGUCUAGGAAAGAGCUUAGUGUUGUCGCAGGAAAGCUGUGUAGCAAUGACACAACUUGAGAAUUUAUGCUUUAGAGAAGCAGCAUCUCGAUGCUAGAUUUAGUAACAAUGGCAGCAUAACUGAAUUGUUUAUUACAUUGUAUUAAGGUUAUGUGGAGGAAAUGUCAGGGGAAAUAGCUUCCCCCUGCCAUUUCUAAAACGAAGUAUAAACUCCAAAUGGGUGUUUAUUCUGAUUGAAUUUAACAGUUUGGGAAGCGGUGGGUUUUUUAGUUGAUUAAACAGAAAGAAAUAUGGUAGCUUUGCUACAGCUGCCAUGAUCAAUGUUAAUUAAACCCUUCAUUAAGUUAUAAAAUACGCACUAUUGCAUAAACAGUCCCUGGGCUUUUACCCAUACAGCACUAAUAGGGUCAAUGGUAAAGUUCUUGCCAGCUUCAGCAAGCCAAAGGGGUUUCAUGCUGUUCUGACCCUUCCUGGUAUUUGCUGCCUCACAGAUCAGUGUAUUGCAGAAUCCUUUGCUCUUCAAAAGAAGGCAGAAAACACGUCUUCCCUCUUUUCCUUGUCAGAACAAGGGAGAAAAGCAGGAGGCUGAAGCAAAACAAAAAUGAGCAGGGCAGGAUGAUAUUUGGUUACUUCUGGGGCAACUUAGCUGGAGUGAACUGCUCACUGGUUUUAAUACAGCUGUGGUAUUCUAUGUAAGAGGAGGACAACCCCACUUUGCACCAAGCACCCCCAGGCUGCUGCUGCUCUGCACUGGGAAUGGCUCUGCCCUCUGCAAGGUGAUGCUUUCCCCAGAAACAGACCCAAACUGCUGCACUGUGCUGGAGCUGGGAAUGGCAAUUUUGAUUUUUAGCUGGUCCGGCACCCAGAAAUCCCACCUCCUUGCAGCACAGCAUGUCGAUCAUUGCUUUGGCACCAAACUCACUGCUGCCAAAGCACAGCCAAGGGGAGAGCAGAAAGCCAGCCCCCUCCCUGGCUAGUUUUGGAAGUCCUGUAUCUUGUGCUAUAAGGGCCCCCUAGAAGAGCCUAUGCUGCAGGCAGAAAGGAUGGCCAGACCACCACGGGUGAACCAGCUGUGGUGGUAGGGAAGUGUUGACUCCCUCGGCAAGGACAAGUGAACUGGCAUUGUUUGUGUUCCCAGUGCAUAAUCAGACAGCACACCUCCAGUCACCUGCUGCAGGGAGUUUAAACUGAUCAGGUUGGUACUUUUCAGCUGCUGAAUGGUAAUUUUUUUUAAUCGCUCCAACUUGAUUGCAUGCAAUCAUCUGCCCUUCAAGGAGAAAAUGCAAGGAAGGAUGUUUUAACACUGAGGUCAACCUCUUCUAAUUACUCCUCUAGGCCUACUUUCCAAACUUCCUUUUUCACCACUGCUGAAACUCAGAUGAGCAUUUAUCCAAAUGGGAGACUGCUUUUGCUGUCCUUCACUAGCCUUUUGGUCAUUAACUAUAGGAAUUAAUGUAGGGUUUCAGCUCACACAUAUACAAAACAAAGAUAUAUAACACGAUGUUGGAUUACAGCCCACUGAAGUAUAUGUGUAACUAAAUGGGCCGUAUCCUGCAGUACUAUCAUUCCUGAGAUGGAUUUUAAAACAUAAAGCCAUGUGUAAGUAACACCAAAUGUAAGCCUUGCUUCAGUUUUGUUGUUUUAUUAUUUUCUUAAUAAAAAGCUUUUCAGAAA